GUUCAGAACUAGGAGACGUUGGUCGGGCGUAUGCUCUGUACCAGCUUUCCUGUUCUCCCUAUGGGAUACUCACCUUUACUCUUAACUGGGCGAAGGUAAAAGCAUUGUAUGGUUGGGGCAACCUGGUCAUGCAGUGUGGAGUUCCCAUUCGUUUACUUUGAAUAAAUUAGGGUGUUCAAAGCAGGCAAAUAAAGAGCCUUGAAUACUACAGCAUGGGAUAACGGAAUACGAUUUCGGUUCAUAUUUCGUUGGUUUCUGGAGCCGAAGUAAUGAUUAAAAGGGAUAGUUGGGGGCAUUAGUAUUUAAUUGUCAGAGGUGAAAUUCUUGGAUUUAUGAAAGACUAACUUCUGCGAAAGCAUUUGCCAAGGAUGUUUUCAUUAAUCAAGAACGAAAGUUAGGGGAUCGAAGACGAUCAGAUACCGUCGUAGUCUUAACCAUAAACUAUGCCGACCAGCGAUUGGGAGACGUUAUUUGUAUGACUCCCCCAGCAGCUUGCGAGAAAUCACAAGUCUUUGGGUUCUGGGGGGAGUAUGGUCGCAAGGCUGAAACUUAAAGGAAUUGACGGAAGGGCACCACCAGGAGUGGAGCCUGCGGCUUAAUUUGACUCAACACGGGGAAACUUACCAGGUCCAGACAUAGUAAGGAUUGACAGAUUUGAGAGCUCUUUCUUGAUUCUAUGGGUGGUGGUGCAUGGCCGUUCUUAGUUGGUGGAGUGAUUUGUCUGGUUAAUUCCGUUAACGAACGAGACCUUAACCUGCUAAAUAGUAACCGAAAGACUUCUAAAAAAACACGUUGGUGGCUAGGGUGAAGUUUCGAUGGAGCCUGACCCAUUAGCGUGUGGAUGACUUCCGGGAAUACUUCUUAGAGGGACUAUUUGUAUUAAGGCAAAUGGAAGUUUGAGGCAAUAACAGGUCUGUGAUGCCCUUAGAUGUCUUGGGCCGCACGCGCGCUACACUGAUAAGUUCAACGAGUUCUUCCACCUUGUUCGAUAGAACCGGGUAAUCUUCGAAAAACUUAUCGUGAUGGGGAUAGAUCAUUGUAAUUAUUGGUCUUCAACGAGGAAUUCCUAGUAAGCGUGAGUCAUCAGCUCGCGUUGAUUACGUCCCUGCCCUUUGUACACACCGCCCGUCGCUCCUACCGAUUGAAUGGUCCGGUGAAUUGUCCGGAGUAUGGUCAUGUUGGGGGCAACUUCAACAGAUCGUGCGAAGUUCAAU
rnacentral:rRNA from 1 species